rnacentral:rRNA from 1 species
UACGUAGGGGGCUAGCGUUGUCCGGAUUUAUUGGGCGUAAAGAGCGUGUAGGCGGCCAGGUAGGUCUGCUGUGAAAACUCGAGGCUCAACCUCGAGACGUCGGCGGAAACCAUCUGGCUAGAGUCCGGAAGAGGAGAGUGGAAUUCCUGGUGUAGUGGUGGAAUGCGUAGAUAUCGGGAGGAACACCAGUGGCGAAGGCGGUUGCCUGGGGCUUUGCUGACGCUGAUGCGCGAAAGCGUGGGGAGCGAUCCGG